rnacentral:tRNA from 1 species
UGUCAAGGGAUGGGAAUCGAACCCACGACCAUCCGCUUACCGGGCAGAUGCCAUGACCACUAGGCUACCCUGGAC